rnacentral:rRNA from 1 species
AUGAGGAGCUUGCUUUUCAAAUCGAGUGGCGAACGGGUGAGUAACGCGUGAGGAACCUGCCUCAAAGAGGGGGACAACAGUUGGAAACGACUGCUAAUACCGCAUAAGCCCACGGCUCGGCAUCGAGCAGGGGAAAAGGAGUGAUCCGCUUUGAGAUGGCCUCGCGUCCGAUUAGCUAGUUGGUGAGGUAAUGGCCCACCAAGGCGACGAUCGGUAGCCGGUCUGAGAGGAUGAACGGCCACACUGGAACUGAGACACGGUCCAGACUCC